GGGUUGUGAGGUUAAGCGACUAAGCGUACACGGUGGAUGCCCUGGCAGUCAGAGGCGAUGAAGGACGUGCUAAUCUGCGAAAAGCGCCGGCGAGGUGAUAUGAACCUUUGACCCGGCGAUGUCCGAAUGGGGAAACCCAGUGUGAUUCGUCACACUAUCGUUAACUGAAUACAUAGGUUAACGAGGCGAACCGGGGGAACUGAAACAUCUAAGUACCCCGAGGAAAAGAAAUCAACCGAGAUUCCCCCAGUAGCGGCGAGCGAACGGGGAGCAGCCCAGAGUCUGAAUCAGCUUGUGUGUUAGUGGAACGGUCUGGAAAGUCCGACGGUACAGGGUGAUAGUCCCGUACACGAAAAUGCACAGGUUGUGAACUCGAAGAGUAGGGCGGGACACGUGGUAUCCUGUCUGAAUAUGGGGGGACCAUCCUCCAAGGCUAAAUACUCCUGACUGACCGAUAGUGAACCAGUACCGUGAGGGAAAGGCGAAAAGAACCCCGGCGAGGGGAGUGAAAAAGAACCUGAAACCGUGUACGUACAAGCAGUGGGAGCACCUUCGUGGUGUGACUGCGUACCUUUUGUAUAAUGGGUCAGCGACUUAUAUUCUGUAGCAAGGUUAACCGUAUAGGGGAGCCGAAGGGAAACCGAGUCUUAACUGGGCGUUAAGUUGCAGGGUAUAGACCCGAAACCCGGUGAUCUAGCCAUGGGCAGGUUGAAGGUUGGGUAACACUAACUGGAGGACCGAACCGACUAAUGUUGAAAAAUUAGCGGAUGACUUGUGGCUGGGGGUGAAAGGCCAAUCAAACCGGGAGAUAGCUGGUUCUCCCCGAAAGCUAUUUAGGUAGCGCCUCGUGAACUCAUCUUCGGGGGUAGAGCACUGUUUCGGCUAGGGGGCCAUCCCGGCUUACCAACCCGAUGCAAACUACGAAUACCGAAGAAUGUUAUCACGGGAGACACACGGCGGGUGCUAACGUCCGUCGUGAAGAGGGAAACAACCCAGACCGCCAGCUAAGGUCCCAAAGUCAUGGUUAAGUGGGAAACGAUGUGGGAAGGCACAGACAGCCAGGAUGUUGGCUUAGAAGCAGCCAUCAUUUAAAGAAAGCGUAAUAGCUCACUGGUCGAGUCGGCCUGCGCGGAAGAUGUAACGGGGCUAAACCAUGCACCGAAGCUGCGGCAGCGACUGCUGGAGGUAUCAGAAGUGCGAAUGCUGACAUAAGUAACGAUAAUGCGGGUGAAAAGCCCGCACGCCGGAAGACCAAGGGUUCCUGUCCAACGUUAAUCGGGGCAGGGUGAGUCGACCCCUAAGGCGAGGCCGAAAGGCGUAGUCGAUGGGAAACAGGUUAAUAUUCCUGUACUUGGUGUUACUGCGAAGGGGGGACGGAGAAGGCUAUGUUAGCCGGGCGACGGUUGUCCCGGUUUAAGCAUGUAGGCGGAGGUUCCAGGUAAAUCCGGUACCUUAUUAACGCUGAGGUGUGAUGACGAGGCACUACGGUGCUGAAGUAACAAAUGCCCUGCUUCCAGGAAAAGCCUCUAAGCAUCAGGUAACAUCAAAUCGUACCCCAAACCGACACAGGUGGUCAGGUAGAGAAUACCAAGGCGCUUGAGAGAACUCGGGUGAAGGAACUAGGCAAAAUGGUGCCGUAACUUCGGGAGAAGGCACGCUGAUAUGUAGGUGAAGCCCCUGCGGGUGGAGCUGAAAUCAGUCGAAGAUACCAGCUGGCUGCAACUGUUUAUUAAAAACACAGCACUGUGCAAACACGAAAGUGGACGUAUACGGUGUGACGCCUGCCCGGUGCCGGAAGGUUAAUUGAUGGGGUUAGCGGCAACGCGAAGCUCUUGAUCGAAGCCCCGGUAAACGGCGGCCGUAACUAUAACGGUCCUAAGGUAGCGAAAUUCCUUGUCGGGUAAGUUCCGACCUGCACGAAUGGCGUAAUGAUGGCCAGGCUGUCUCCACCCGAGACUCAGUGAAAUUGAACUCGCUGUGAAGAUGCAGUGUACCCGCGGCAAGACGGAAAGACCCCGUGAACCUUUACUAUAGCUUGACACUGAACACUGGUCCUUGAUGUGUAGGAUAGGUGGGAGGCUUUGAAGCGUGGACGCCAGUCUGCGUGGAGCCGACCUUGAAAUACCACCCUUUAAUGGCUGGUGUUCUAACGUAGACCCGUAAUCCGGGUUGCGGACAGUGUCUGGUGGGUAGUUUGACUGGGGCGGUCUCCUCCCAAAGAGUAACGGAGGAGCACGAAGGUUAGCUAAUCCUGGUCGGACAUCAGGAGGUUAGUGCAAUGGCAUAAGCUAGCUUGACUGCGAGAGUGACGGCUCGAGCAGGUGCGAAAGCAGGUCAUAGUGAUCCGGUGGUUCUGAAUGGAAGGGCCAUCGCUCAACGGAUAAAAGGUACUCCGGGGAUAACAGGCUGAUACCGCCCAAGAGUUCAUAUCGACGGCGGUGUUUGGCACCUCGAUGUCGGCUCAUCACAUCCUGGGGCUGAAGUAGGUCCCAAGGGUAUGGCUGUUCGCCAUUUAAAGUGGUACGCGAGCUGGGUUUAGAACGUCGUGAGACAGUUCGGUCCCUAUCUGCCGUGGGCGCUGGAGAAUUGAGGGGGGCUGCUCCUAGUACGAGAGGACCGGAGUGGACGCAUCACUGGUGUUCGGGUUGUCAUGCCAAUGGCACUGCCCGGUAGCUAAAUGCGGAAGAGAUAAGUGCUGAAAGCAUCUAAGCACGAAACUUGCCCCGAGAUGAGUUCUCCCUGACCCUUUAAGGGUCCUGAAGGAACGUUGAAGACUACGACGUUGAUAGGUCGGGUGUGUAAGCGCAGCGAUGCGUUGAGCUAACCGAUACUAAUGAACCGUGAGGCUUAACCUUACAACGCCGAAGCUGUU
rnacentral:rRNA from 1 species